UGACGCUCUUUCAACCCGGUCCCCAACCCUUUCACCCUGGCUACCCUAAUCUAAUCGAUCGAGCUCACAUCCCCUUUCACCCUGGCCACAUCCCCGCCGUCACCAGCACCACCCUCGUUGCGCCGUUAGCCUCCGCUCCCUCUCCGCCUCGUCUCCUCGUCGUCGUUACCAGCAUCCUUACCGUCAGCGUCAGCACUACCUCCCAUCCUCGUUUUCUGUUUAUACCGAUUCCUUCCAAAAGCGAAUACGACAAGGGAUAAUGUGGGAAGAUGUCGAAGCUCAGAGGCGGCAACUGUUUUCGGCGUCUCUUGCUCGGUGUCAAUGUCGGUCUUGCCCUUGUUGAAGGAAUCGUUGCUUUCGUUGCAUUGUUUCAGGAGUUUUUUUAGCGUUGUGCACAAUUUGGACUAGCUCUUUCCCCACGAGCCCAGAGCCACUAGCUCUUCCUCAUCGCGGUGGCCCAGCAUUCCAUCAUCGCUAGCGUCGCCACAACCUUCUUAUUCCAUCUCCCUCUUUGCUAUCUGAGAAACCAAGAACAGGGCAAGACCCUGUUUUACUGUGCACCCGCCUUCCGCCACUGCCGAUACCCCAGCGCCACCACUAGGCCGCCACCGUGUUGCUCCAGCCAUUCACUCAUCAUCAUCAAUCUUUCCCUUCCCUUCCCCUGUUCCAAUUCCCUGCUUCCCAGUAAAAACCACUAACAACACUGAAGAUAUUGAAAGAGAAGAAGAACAAGUUUGAAGAGGUUCCGCUGUUUCGGUUUUGCUCCUUCGUCCCUGCUGGUGCCUUCAUCUCUGCCAUUCCCUACUCAGUCUUCUCUGCCAUUAGUUAUUGAUUUUGCAGUUUAUUGGAACUUUCGUCCGGAUAGUGUGGUUGGUGAAGGUGGCUUUGGCUGUGUAUUUAAGGGCUGGAUCGACGAGCACACUCUUGAACCCACAAAAUCGGGCACCGGACUCGUCAUUACGGUGAAGAGGCUAAAUCAAGAGAGCACAUAGGGACAUACUGAAUGGCUGAGACAGAAAUCAACUACUUGGGUCAACUGGAUCAUUCUAAUCUUGUGAAACUCAUAAGUUACAGCUUAGAAGAUGAUCAUCGGAUUUUGGUGUAUGAGUUUUUGACUAAAGGCAGUUUGGAUAACCAUUUGUUUAGG